rnacentral:lncRNA from 1 species
AGAUUAUAGGUGACAUUUCAAAUCAGACUGCCUUUAGUGUGCCUCCAUGUGUGAAAAGAUAGAAGCCUUGCUGACAAGCAGUGAACAAUGAGCUGAAGUAAAGAAAUAUUGAAAUGUGGAAGAGCAGGAAGUGAAACAGAAAGGCUAAAACUACCUGGGGCAUUAUGUGGAUGAAAAGAGGAGAGGAAUGUACUGUAAUGAUCUCAAUGAGCUCUUAAGAGUUCGCUGAUCCAGGAAUCUCAUGCAUGACAUCCAGACUGAGGGAGAGGAUGAGACGUGCUUCCCACUAACCACAGCAGCUACAGAUCUUCAAAGUUUUAACUGAUUUCAGCAUUAAGGAAAUGAAAUUUACCGUUGCUAUGGGAGAUGACAGAUAAAACCAAAGUAUUUGGAUGUAAAGUGAG